rnacentral:rRNA from 1 species
ACGUUAGGGUCCCGAGAAGGGAUAACCCCACCACUGGAACUGCGACACGGUCCAGGACUCUUACGGGAGGCAGCAGUUGGAAUUUUGGACAUCAUGGGGCGUAAGCCUGAUCCAGCGACGCCGCGUGGACGAUGAAGGCCUUCGGGUCGUAAAGUACUUUGGGACGGGAACAAUAUUUUGAGCGUACCGAGAAGAAUAAGAGGUUGCUAACUCUGUGCCAGCAGCAGCGGUAAUACAGAGACCUCAAGCGUUAUCCGGAAUCAUUGGGCGUAAAGCGUACCGAUAGGUGGUUUUACAAGUCAGAAGUGAAAUCUCUCAGCUCAACUGGGAGACUGUCUUUUGAAACUGUAAAACUAGAAGGGCAAAGAGGAAGCUGGAACGAACGGUGUAGUAGUGAAAUGCGUUGAUAUCGUUCGGAACRCCAAUAGCGUAGGCAGGCUUCUGGGUGCCACUUGACACUGCUAGGACGAAAGCGUGGGUAGCGAAUGGGAUUAAAUACCCCAGUAGUCCACGCUUGUAAACGAUGAUGAUUCUGUCCUAGAGAGUAUCGACCCUCUUUAGUACCAUAGCUAACGCGUUAAAUCAUCCGCCUGGGAAGCCCGGCCGCAAGGCUAAAACUCAAAGGAAUUGACGGGGACCUGCACAAGCGGUGGAGCAUGUGGUUUAAUUCGACGGUAAGCGAGGAACCUUACCAAGGCUUGACAUGUAGCUGCAUCCCUCAGAAAUGAGGGCGCCUUCGAGGGUGCUACACAGGUGCUGCACGGUUGUCGUCAGCUCGUGCCGUGAGGUGUUCACUUAAGUGUGAAAACGAGCGCAACCCCUACGGUGAGUUACAAGUGUCUCACAGAACUGCCCGCGUUUAAGCGGGAGGAAGGUGGGGAUGACGUCAAAUCAGCGUGGCUCUUACGCC